UUUCCGUAGACAAAAAUGUAGUGGCGAAAUACCUUUCGCAUUGGCCGAUAGCUGGUUGUUCUGGAAAUAUAUUUUAGUAUAGCCUCAUUUUGGGACGGAUUCUACAGUUAUAACAGUGUCUUGAGUAUUGUCAGUCUUUUGGGAGAUGGCCCUUUCAGGAUAAGCUGGGGGGGUGCUUGAAAAGGAUGGCUGGUUAAUUUUUGGGGUUAGAAGUAGGUUUUAAGAAACCAUCUUUGCGGAGUGGGUUACACCACACAUAAGCUCUAUUUUAAUAAAUAUUAUUCUGGUCGAUCUUUUAUGAGUACAGAACCUUUCUAUGUAAUUGUUUUAGUGGAAGAGAUAAUGUAAGUAUGAGUAAUCUGUGGCAGUCUGUUUUUUUUAUUACAAGGAAAAAAAUGUUAAGGUGAGUAAUUAAUAGUAAGCAAACUUUAAGGAACUCGGCAAAAGAGGGAACCGCCUGUUUAUCAAAAACAUGUCUUUUUGUGUACCAUAAAAAGUCGUGCCUUCCCAGUGGGUUUUAA
rnacentral:rRNA from 1 species